rnacentral:rRNA from 1 species
UAGGGAAUCUUCGGCAAUGGGGGCAACCCUGACCGAGCAACGCUGCGUGAGUGAAGAAGGUUUUCGGAUCGUAAAGCUCUGUUGUAAGAGAAGAACGUGUGUGAGAGUGGAAAGUUCACACAGUGACGGUAACUUACCAGAAAGGGACGGCUAACUACGUGCCAGCAGCCGCGGUAAUACGUAGGUCCCGAGCGUUGUCUGGAUUUAUUGGGCGUAAAGCGAGCGCAGGCGGUUUAAUAAGUCUGAAGUUAAAGGCAGUGGCUUAACCAUUGUUCGCUUUGGAAACUGUUAAACUUGAGUGCAGAAGGGGAGAGUGGAAUUCCAUGUGUAGCGGUGAAAUGCGUAGAUAUAUGGAGGAACACCGGUGGCGAAAGCGGCUCUCUGGUCUGUAACUGACGCUGAGGCUCGAAAGCGUGGGGAGCAAACAGG